GGUAUGUUUGUGCUGGACGGCAGUUUGCUUUGUUCGACGCUCACUGCAGGUUGCUGAGGGACGAGCAGAGCGCGGAGACAAUAGGAAGCUGCUGCUGCACAGAGUUUCAAGGGGGAAAAGGUAACGGCUCGGGCAGAAAGGACUCCCAGCCUGUGAAGGGAAGACGCAGAAUGAUGCCAC
rnacentral:lncRNA from 1 species